rnacentral:tRNA from 1 species
GAGGGUAUAGCUCAGUGGUAGAGCACAUGGUUAGCAUGCACGAGCUCCCGGGCUCAACCCCCAGUGCCUCCA